UGGGGAAUAUUGCGCAAUGGGGGCAACCCUGACGCGGCAACGCCGCGUGAGUGAUGAAGGUCUUCGGAUCGUAAAGCUCUGGCGUUAGGAAAGAUGGUUCGAUUGGCUAAUAUCCAAUUGAGCUGACGGUACCUAAAAAGGAAGCACCGGCUAACUCUGUGCCAGCAGCCGCGGUAAUACAGAGGGUGCAAGCGUUGUUCGGAAUCAUUGGGCGUAAAGGGCGCGUAGGCGGCCAAGCAAGUCGAAUGUGAAAGCCCAGGGCUCAACCUUGGAAGUGCAUCCGAAACUACUUGGCUUGAAUCUCGGAGAGGGUGGUGGAAUUCCCAGUGUAGAGGUGAAAUUCGUAGAUAUUGGGAGGAACACCGGUGGCGAAGGCGACCGCCUGGACGAAGAUUGACGCUGAGGCGCGAGAGCGUGGGGAGCAAA
rnacentral:rRNA from 1 species